GAUGAACGCUGGCGGCGUGCCUAAUACAUGCAAGUCGAGCGAACGGACGAGAAGCUUGCUUUUCUGAUGUUAGCGGCGGACGGGUGAGUAACACGUGGAUAACCUACCUAUAAGACUGGGAUAACUUCGGGAAACCGGAGCUAAUACCGGAUAAUAUUUUGAACCGCAUGGUUCAUAAGUGAAAGACGGUCUUGCUGUCACUUAUAGAUGGAUCCGCGCUGCAUUAGCUAGUUGGUAAGGUAACGGCUUACCAAGGCAACGAUGCAUAGCCGACCUGAGAGGGUGAUCGGCCACACUGGAACUGAGACACGGUCCAGACUCCUACGGGAGGCAGCAGUAGGGAAUCUUCCGCAAAGGGCGAAAGCCUGACGGAGCAACGCCGCGUGAGCGAUGAAGGUCUUCGGAUCGUAAAACUCUGUUAUUAGGGAAGAACAUAUGUGUAAGUAACUGUGCACAUCUUGACGGUACCUAAUCAGAAAGCCACGGCUAACUACGUG
rnacentral:rRNA from 1 species